rnacentral:rRNA from 1 species
UAGGGAAUAUUGCACAAUGGGGGAAACCCUGAUGCAGCGACGCCGCGUGAAGGAAGAAGUAUUUCGGUAUGUAAACUUCUAUCAGCAAGGAAGAAAAUGACGGUACUUGACUAAGAAGCCCCGGCUAAAUACGUGCCAGCAGCCGCGGUAAUACGUAUGGGGCAAGCGUUAUCCGGAAUUACUGGGUGUAAAGGGAGCGUAGGCGGUACGGCAAGUCAGAAGUGAAAGCCUGGGGCUCAACCCCGGAAUUGCUUUUGAAACUGUCGGACUAGAGUGUCGGAGGGGUAAGCGGAAUUCCUAGUGUAGCGGUGAAAUGCGUAGAUAUUAGGAGGAACACCGGUGGCGAAGGCGGCUUACUGGACGACCACUGACGCUGAGGCUCGAAAGCGUGGGGAGCAAACA